rnacentral:rRNA from 1 species
AACGACGCUGGCGCAUGCCUAACACAUGCAAGUCGAACGAGACCUUCGGGUCUAGUGGCGCACGGGUGCGUAACGCGUGGGAACCUGCCUUUAGGUUCGGAAUAACUCAGAGAAAUUUGAGCUAAUACCGGAUGAUGUCUUCGGACCAAAGAUUUAUCGCCUUUAGAUGGGCCCGCGUUGGAUUAGCUAGUUGGUGGGGUAAAGGCCUACCAAGGCGACGAUCCAUAGCUGGUCUGAGAGGAUGAUCAGCCACACUGGGACUGAGACACGGCCCAGACUCCUACGGGAGGCAGCAGUGGGGAAUAUUGGACAAUGGGCGAAAGCCUGAUCCAGCAAUGCCGCGUGAGUGAUGAAGGCCUUAGGGUUGUAAAGCUCUUUUACCCGAGAUGAUAAUGACAGUAUCGGGAGAAUAAGCUCCGGCUAACUCCGUG